rnacentral:tRNA from 1 species
GGAUGGGUGGCCGAGCGGUUUAAGGCACCGGUCUUGAAAACCGGCGCGGGCGCAAGUCCGCCGUGGGUUCGAAUCCCACCCCAUCCGCCA